ensembl:piRNA 21ur-3090 ncRNA
CUAAGGUGAUCAUUAAUUGAG